UAUAAACUAAAGCAAACGUGCGUCUUUGUGGGGCUCCAAGCCUGUGCACUGGCCGCCUGCGUGCACUCCAGUAAGUGUGGAUAACACCCCCGCAGGGGCUGCCAGCAAGAAGCCUACGUUAACAUUUAUCUCGUGGUGAGGAAGGUGGAGGCCACACCCACACCUCCGCGAGCUGGGGAGAGAGCUUUCGUGGGGAAAUGAAUAUGGGGCACGGAAACACAUUGUCCCGCAUGGAGUCCCCAGAGGCAGUGCAUUUUAAACUCUGAAGUGUGGAUUAUUCUGUGAAUGUCUCAGUGGAGUUGAUAUUCCGCUUUAAGAAGCUGGAUGAGUGUGUGGGUGUGCGUAAGGCUAUGUGGGAGUAGGCACAGAAUCUUAGUGUUCGGGUGUCCCUAGGGUAGGCUGUCCUCCUCUCGCCAGAUUAGGAGGGACUCCUCUAGCUCCCCAAAAUUGCUCUCCGUAAUUAGCCUGCCUCGGUUCGUAAGGGGUUAACUAAAGCCGAUUUCGAAUACACCCCCCCCCCCACCACCACCAUCACAGUCACCCCCACCCACACCCUGGCUUCCGACCCUGGCCAAGCUCCCAAAUCUCCCCCGGGGACCCCCCACCCAGCAGCCCACCCACACCAACGCACGGCUCCUCACCUGCGGGGCCCUGCCGCGUCAGGCCUCCGGAGCGGGCUGCGAGUGUCUGUCCGACCUCCGCACGUGUCCACAGCGGCGCCAAGCAGGUAAUACUUGAAUCUCCGCUGCACACAUGGCCUAACAAUUGUGUUGGCAUAACUGCCUUUGGUUGAGCUGAAAGUUUACUUAUUUUGAGAGAGAGAAAGCACAAGCAGCAGAGGGGCACAGAGG